CCUACGGGUGACAGCAGUAGGGAAUUUUCGUCAAUGGGCGCAAGCCUGAACGAGCAAUGCCGCGUGAACGAGGAAGGUCUUCGGAUCGUAAAGUUCUGUUGAAGGGGAAAAAGAGCGGAGAGAGGAAAUGCUUUCUGAUUGAUAUUACCCUUCGAGGAAGUCACGGCUAACUACGUGCCAGCAGCCGCGGUAAUACGUAGGUGGCGAGCGUUAUCCGGAAUGAUUGGGCGUAAAGGGUGUGUAGCCGGGUUGACAAGUCAGAUGUGAAAAUCCUGCGGCUUAACCGCAGAACUGCAUUUGAAACUGUUGAUCUUGAGUACUGGAGAGGCAGACGGAAUUCCUAGUGUAGCGGUGAAAUGCGUAGAUAUUAGGAGGAACACCAGUGGCGAAGGCGGUCUGCUGGACAGCAACUGACGGUGAGGCGCGAAAGCGUGGGGAGCAAACAGGAUUAGAUACCCGAGUAGUC
rnacentral:rRNA from 1 species